GGGCUGGGGCUCAGCAGUAGAGCACUAGCCUAGCACAUGUGAGGCCCUGGGUUCAAUCCUCAGCAGCACG
rnacentral:tRNA from 1 species